CCUACGGGAGGCAGCAGUGGGGAAUAUUGCACAAUGGGCGAAAGCCUGAUGCAGCAACGCCGCGUGAAGGAAGAAGGGUUUCGGCUCGUAAACUUCUAUCAACAGGGACGAAAGAAAUGACGGUACCUGAAUAAGAAGCCUCGGCUAACUACGUGCCAGCAGCCGCGGUAAUACGGGUGGUGCAAGCGUUGUCCGGAAUCAUUGGGCGUAAAGCGUUCGUAGGCGGCAAGGUAAGUCUGAUGUUAAAGCCCGGGGCUCAACUCCGGUUCGGCAUUGGAUACUAUCUAGCUAGAAUGUGGUAGAGGUAAAGGGAAUUCCUGGUGUAGCGGUGAAAUGCGUAGAUAUCAGGAGGAACAUCGGUGGCGAAAGCGCUUUACUGGACCAUUAUUGACGCUGAGGAACGAAAGCCAGGGGAGCAAAUGGGAUUAGAUACCCGUGUAGUC
rnacentral:rRNA from 1 species